rnacentral:rRNA from 1 species
AACGGUAACAGGAAUUAGCUUGCUAAUUUGCUGACGAGUGGCGCACGGGUGCGUAACGCGUAUACAAUCACCUUUUGCUGAGGGAUAGCCCAGAGAAAUUUGGAUUAAUACCUCAUGGUAUUAUUGAUAGGCAUCUAUAUAUUAAGGUUACGGCAAAGAUGAGUAUGCGUCCCAUUAGCUAGUUGGUGAAGUAACGGUUCACCAAGGCAACGGUGGGUAGGGGUCCUGAGAGGGAGAUCCCCCACACUGGUACUGAGACACGGACCAGACUCC